CCUACGGGAGGCAGCAGUGGGGAAUAUUGGACAAUGGGCGCAAGCCUGAUCCAGCCAUGCCGCGUGAGUGAUGAAGGCCUUAGGGUUGUAAAGCUCUUUUGUCCGGGAAGAUAAUGACUGUACCGGAAGAAUAAGCCCCGGCUAACUUCGUGCCAGCAGCCGCGGUAAU
rnacentral:rRNA from 2 species